GGAGGCUGGGGCCAGAUGACAGCUAGUGAGGGAGCAGAGACAAGACGGGCGAGCCUGUGACAGAGUGAGACCCUGUCUCAAAAAACAAAAACAAGACAUGUGAGCUUGGACUCCAGUGUGGAAUCCCGUGUCCACUCAGCGCACCUUUCUGCUGCUGAAAAUACAAGUGGAGAGGGGAAACCCACAGGUGGAGCUGACCAUGAGGACUGUCACAGAUGAUUCCAAUGUACAGCCAAUGAUGAGCAGCUGCUGGGCUGGAGGGACUGGGGCCAUUUUAUACCAGGAUGUUACACAGAAAUGGCUGAAAAGCAAGGAGCAGCUAUCAGAAUGUUUGGUGACAUAGCUUCUCCUUUCGUGGUCCGUUCAGCAUGGACUUCACAUUCAGCAGACCCAUGAGGUGUUCCCUUU
rnacentral:lncRNA from 1 species